GUGCUCACCCUGGCAGCAGAUAAACUAAACUUGGAAAGAUACUGAGAUUAACAUGGCCCCUUUGCAAGGAUUACGUGCAAGUUUGUGAAAUGUUCCAUAUAUUA
ensembl:snRNA Gm25705 U6 spliceosomal RNA